rnacentral:misc_RNA from 1 species
GUUAAUAGUGUGAAGAAGCUGCAGAGACGGGAGAUUUGCUCGAAGCGCGAUCGUGCUUUUAGUAUGAGUAAUGCCCAAGAGAGAUUUCGCAACAUGCGUUUGAUGGAGGAAUAUGAUACUCAUGAUCCAAAGGGGCAUUGUUCACCAGUUUUACCUUUUCUGAUGAAGAGAACCAAAGUAAUAGAAAUUGUUGCUGCACGUGACAUUGUUUUUGCUCUGGCACAUUCUGGUGUUUGUG